CAAAAUCUUAGAAUUACAGUAAGUUAGCCUGCAUGGCAGGCGGUUCCUAAAAUCACCGCCUGCCAUGCAGGCUAACAGUAAGUAGGUGUUAACUUUUGU